GGGGUUGUAGCUCAGUGGUAGAGUGCUCGUCUAGCAUGUACGAGAGGCCCUGGGUUCGAUCCUCAGCACCA
rnacentral:tRNA from 1 species